UAGGGAAUCUUCCACAAUGGGCGCANCNGAUGGAGCAACACCGCGUGAGCGAAGAAGGGUUUCGGCUCGUAAAACUCUGUUGUUAAAGAAGAACAUAUCUGAGAGUAACUGUUCAGGUAUUGACGGUAUUUAACCAGAAAGCCACGGCUAACUACGUGCCAA
rnacentral:rRNA from 1 species